GACGUAGGGGGCGAGCGUUAUCCGGAAUUAUUGGGCGUAAAGGGCACGCAGGCGGUCGGCCAAGUUCACGCUGACAAUCAUCAGCUUAACUGAUGAAGGCGUGUGAAGACUGGUAGACUUGAGAGCGAGAGAGGGACAUGGAACUCCAGGUGGAGCAGUGAAAUGCGUAGAGAUCUGGAAGAACACCAAUGGUGAAGGCAGUGUCCUGGCUCGUUUCUGACGCUCAGGUGCGAAAGCUAGGGGAG
rnacentral:rRNA from 1 species